UGGGGAACUGUAGGGGGGGGGGACCGCCGGACAGUUCGUGAGGUGUUGGCCCUCUCAAAAGCCAAUUCCCCGGGACUGAUUUUUCUGUCAGAAACUCAUCAAGCCUCAAGUCGAAUGGAGAAGCUCAAGUGGAGACUACGAAUGAAGGGUUUUGCUGGUGUAUCAAGUGAUGGCCUUAGUGGGGGGCUUGCGUUAUUUUGGGAUGAAAAUCUGCAAGUAACUGUGUUGGACUCAUGUGCACAGUAUAUUGAUGUGAGAAUAGUUGAUAAUGUUAAUGAUAAAACUUGGAGGACUACUUUUGUUUAUGGAGAGCCACGGGUGGAGCAUCGUCAUCGCAUGUGGAGUGCCUUGUCAAGUCUAUGGGCGGUGUCGGCGGAACCAUGGCUGGUUGAUACGUCUCCGUCGUAUCUAUAA
rnacentral:rRNA from 1 species